UGAAAUCAAUGAAGAAACUUCGGUCCUAUCACUUCGAAUCCGAUUUGAUCUGAUAGUCAAACUUUAGAUCAUUUAGGUCCUAAUUAGAUUUUGAUUAGAUAAAAUUAGAUGAUCGGACCCAAUCUAAACCGUUGAAAUAUGGUAUUCGUAUUCUUUUUAGUUAUUAAAAUUGAUUCUGUAUAGGAUUGUGGAUGUUUGAUCAUGGGAUAUUGCGAUAUGAUCUACGAACAGAAUUUUUGAAAGAAAAUUUAUAGAAUUAUGUGGAUUUAUUGGAAUACGUUUGAGGUAAGUAAUGUUUCACUUUUUCUAGAUUUAUCAGCAAAUUAUAAUAUAUUUUUCUGACAUGAUUUGUGAAACAAUGCAUGAAUUGGAUGAAUGGUAUUUUGUUAUGAAAAUAUUUUAUUUGAAAUAUUAUGAUGAAGCAUGAUUAAACAUAUUGAUUUCAUGAUGAAGAAUUAUGAUAUAAGAAACAUUAUGAAUUGACAACCUGACUAUGUAAAGGAUCCCACCAAUGGGGGCAUAUACAUUGGCAAUUGUUUGUCCUGAGGGUUUAUGUCGCCAGCGAGACCAGCGACAUGUCGCCAGAGAAACCAGCGACAAACCGCCAGAGAGACCAGCGGUUCCGAAGGACUUUGCUGCCAGAUGAUUCGCAGCUCACCGCAAGCAGAUACGCGGUAUUAUGACCCUGCCACAGAGAAAAUAUGGUCAUAGCUCAUGGUUGACGAAAAGAAUUGAAGAACA
rnacentral:lncRNA from 1 species